UCCAAGGUAUCUAGGACAUCUUAUGACACUGAAGGAGGUAAAAAGUAUUUAUUAUCGGGAAGGUGUAGACUUAGGAACUCUCUGCACAAUCGUCACGGUCUUCUACUCUGAGGAUCUGCAUGAAUAAAUUAUAAAUGUCACAGUUCCGCACAGCUGAAAAGAUUGAAUUAAUUAGCCUGUCACCUGAGAGCUUUCGCCCUUUCUGCAAGGGAAUGAAGUGAUUUGAAAGAGUGCUGGAAAGGGCCCUCGUUCCACUUGACCUUUCCAGAGAUGUGGCAGACAGAUCGAUGGGGAAGUAACUGCAACAAGCUGACACCUUGUAGAUAAGGUAUGCUCCAGGAGUCAAGAGUACCUAAAUAAGUUAUAAAAACAUGGAGAUCUACUGCCUUGUUUUAUGAAGGUCUUGUGUUACGUUGGUUAAUGCUGAGUUAUCUUCCAGUCACUUUGUUGAUUGUUUGUUUGUUUUCCCUGUGUAUUUGAUUGUUUAUGAUUAUCUGUAUCAUCACUAGAAUAAAAUUCUUUGAUCUGAA